rnacentral:rRNA from 1 species
UACGGGGGGAGCAAGCGUUGUUCGGAUUUACUGGGCGUAAAGGGCGCGUAGGCGGUCAGCACAAGUCAGUUGUGAAAUCUCCGGGCUUAACUCGGAAAGGUCAACUGAUACUGUGCGACUAGAGUGCAGAAGGGGCAACUGGAAUUCUCGGUGUAGCGGUGAAAUGCGUAGAUAUCGAGAGGAACACCUGCGGCGAAGGCGGGUUGCUGGGCUGACACGUGACGCUGGAUGCGCGAAAGCCAGGGGAGCGAACGGG